GCCGUAGAACUCAAAAUGUCCGAAUGGGGCAACCCUAAAUAUUCCGCAAGGAAGGCAAACGCGGGGAACUGAAACAUCUAAGUACCCGCAAGGAAAAGAAAACAAUAGUGAUUCCCUAAGUAGUGGCGAGCGAACGGGGAGUAGCCCAAACCGAAUUUAUCAAGGUAAGUUCGGGGUUGUAGGACUGCAUUUAAUGAGACAUUCGAAGCUGAAGAACGUUGGAAAGCGACACUAUAGCAGGUGAUAGUCCUGUAGGCGAGAAUGGGUAAAUGAGCAGCAUCCUGAGUACCGCGGGGUCGGAGACGCCCUGUGGGAAUCAAGCGGCACCAUCCGCUAAGGCUAAAUACUCUUAAGUGACCGAUAGUGAACAAGUACUGUGAAGGAAAGGUGCAAAGAACCCUGAACAAGGGAGUGAAAUAGAACCUGAAACCAUACACCUACAAACAGUCGGAGCCACUUUAUGUGGUAACGGCGUGCCUUUU
rnacentral:rRNA from 1 species